rnacentral:rRNA from 1 species
AUAUUGGUCAAUGGACGCAAGUCUGAACCAGCCACGUCGCGUUAAGGAAGACGGCCCUNUGGGUUNUNAACUUCUUUUAUACAGGNCUAAAGUGAGUCACGUGUGACUUUUUGCAUGUACUGUAUGAAUAAGGAUCGGCCAACUCCGUGCCAGCAGCCGCGGUAAUACGGAGGAUCCAAGCGUUAUCCGGAUUUAUUGGGUUUAAAGGGUGCGCAGGCGGGAGAUUAAGUCGGCGGUGAAAUUUUACAGCUCAACUGUAAAAGUGCCUUCGAAACUGGUUUUCUUGAGUGUAGAUGAAGUAGGCGGAAUUUGUGGUGUAGCGGUGAAAUGCAUAGAUAUCACGAGGAACUCCGAUUGCGCAGGCAGCUUACUAAGCUACAACUGACGCUAAUGCACGAAGGCGUGGGGAUCAAACAGG